rnacentral:rRNA from 1 species
UACAGAGGUCCCAAGCGUUGUUCGGAUUCACUGGGCGUAAAGGGUGCGUAGGUGGUGAGGUAAGUCGGAUGUGAAAGCUCGGAGCUCAACUCCGAAAUGGCAUUGGAAACUACCUUGCUCGAGGGUUGGAGGGGGGACUGGAAUGCUCGGUGUAGCAGUGAAAUGCGUAGAUAUCAAGCGGAACACCAGUGGCGAAGGCGAGUCCCUGGACAACUCCUGACACUGAGGCACGAAAGCUAGGGGAGCAAACAGG